rnacentral:lncRNA from 1 species
GUACAAACUGUUGCCUAAGGAUACAGGGUGUGUGGCUGGUGGCCUCAACAGGCCCCACGGCUCAGGCACUCAGACCCAAGCUGGUCCCUCAGCCCAUAUUACUAAAUGCCUGACUUCAGAAAAAAAACGUAAACAAAAGACAGAGAUUGGAAGCAUCAGAAUUUUAUUCCAGUGACUCAAUCCCCAUUGUGUGAAGUAGACCAGAAUGAAUAAAUUGAACUUACUCAGCACCUCAAUUAUUAAAUGUAUCCACAGAAAUUCAUUCUGUCAAGUUAACUGUGGAGGUUGUUGUUGCUAUUGCAGACUAAAUGGUUUUCCUGGGAACUCUGACUCUGGCCACAAGAUCAAGACUGACAAAUUUCCUUUCUCUGUUUAUGGAGGGAGACUUCACAACAUUCACUGAAAGAGGAGCAAAGGACCUGGUUUUUGCCAUGACUGGCUUUGGCCCCGUGAAUGAAUGUUUUUCUGGCAUUGGAAAGCGGAUAGCAAAGAGAGCAGAACCACAAAUGGGCUAUGAGGAAAUGUGUUCAAUGAAGAAAACAAAAUCUCUGACAAGAUCCAACAUAGGACAACAUCUCAGCAUCUUCUGUGAUUUGUGAACCCAAGUAAAGCACUUCUUAGAGUUAUCUGGCACAUUCGCAACUAAUAGCUUUCUGUGAAUAAAUACUGUGGCAACCACGUUAACUGUACAAAAACAAAUUGCUUAUUUCUUAUAUCCAUGCUGGAAGAUUAUCUGGCUGACCUUAUCAGCUGUGAUGUCAGGAAUGUCAGCCAGUUAUCCUGUGGUGCAUUCAGCUGGGUCAUUGUACCCCAUCAGUGAGGCAAUUGCAAAGUUCCAUCUGGACAGAGGUAGAAAAAAUUAUAUUCACUUUGAGUUUUGGAUUUUUUUCUCUUAAUUUUCAAAGAUAAAGACAAUUGCUUUUGGCUUUUAAGAGACACAUCUGGUAUGCCUUGGGCUGGAUGCCAGAUAUUUCUGCUGUUGAGUUUUUAUAACAUUAUAUAGGCCUCAAUAUUUUAGAACUAGUAUACAUUUGAUAAAAGUGACUUUUCUAAAGUUUUAGGGAGAAUCUUUUGCUUAGGUGCAGCUGAGUAUUUUUAGUUCAGUACUACAGAUGGCAUACCAAAUUUAAGAGGAGUUGAGUGACUGCUUCAAGGUUGCACAGCUAGUUCUUGGUAGAUCUGGAAAAGGACCAACAUCUCUUGGCCCUUUGUCAGAUAUUCUUUCUUUGAUUUCACACUGUUUUUAAAGAUGCUUAAUACAUUUUAAAUUAAAAUGGUUAUUUGAAUCUGCUUAAACUAGACAAUACUAAUUGUCAAACAUCCAUUACCUGCUUUUUCUCUAGUAACAGAUUGGUGCAAAAAGAAUUGCGGUUUUUGCCAUUACUUUUAAUGGCAUUAAUUACUUUUAAUGGCAAAAACCUUAGUUCCUUUUGCACCAGCCUAAUAAUAAAACCCCUAAUUUUAACUUGGCACGUGGCCAACCAGAAUAGAAACUACAUGUUCCUGCUUUGCUUUCAGUAGCAUUAGCUGAAGUAAUCUUCAAUGGGGAUAGGAAAAAUGAGGUGCACAACUGCCUGGUUGCACUCUUAUAGGAAAGGCAUAACCCUCCAUUUCCCUUUUAUCUUUUCCACUCACUAGAGUAGUGAUCUGGUCAUAAUUCAUUCUGGACCAUGUUGACAGGGCAAUAUACUGGAGAUUGUAGAGAAGAAGUCAGAAGGGACUUGGAUCCCUGAUACUAUGGAACUGUCUUGCAGCCCUAGUUUGCUUAUGUCUAGACUUUUAUGCAAGAGAAAAAAUAAACAUUUCUUUGUUUUAACUACUGAUACUUAGAUCUUAGCUACAGCAACUGAACACACAAUGCUAUUUAAUAAUUUGCAAAUGUUAUACUGCCAGUUGAUAUUUUAUAACUACCAAAUUUAAGUGCAGUAAAUGGGCAUUAUGCUUGUUUAAAUGUCUGGCAAUCUUGGAAUUAUACCAUUACCAUCAUAUGUUGCAUGAGAUGGUUUUCCAUUCCAUUUAGAGUCCGUACAAUAACUCAUACAAUGUGUCACUACUGCUGUCUCUUCUCAGCGGGCUUCAACCAUACUUAUUUCUUUGCCGUUCCUAAACAUUCCAGAUAUACUCAGUGUUCCUUCCUCAGGGUAAAUGUUGUUUUGUUGGUGGUGUGGUUUGUUUUUUU